rnacentral:rRNA from 1 species
UACGGAGGGUGCAAGCGUUACUCGGAAUCACUGGGCGUAAAGAGCGCGUAGGCGGGAUAGCAAGUCAGAUGUGAAAUCCUAUGGCUUAACCAUAGAACUGCAUUUGAAACUGUUAUUCUAGAGUAUGGGAGAGGUAGGUGGAAUUCUUGGUGUAGGGGUAAAAUCCGUAGAGAUCAAGAGGAACACCGGCGGCGAAGGCGGCUUACUGGACUGUAACUGACGUUGAGGCUCGAAGGCGUGGGGAGCAAACAGG